CAUAUGAGACGUUAGUGAGAAGUUAGAACAAACGGACUUAAGAUGGCUCGAAGUGAUCAAAGUUGAUCUAAAACAGAAGAUAAAUCCAAAGCAGCAUCAGAUGAAUGUUACCAUUUCCAGUUACGGUGCCCUUCAUCUAAUAUGGAAAUGUGUUGUUUUUUUUUAGCCGUGUUGUUGUUCUUCCUAUUGUGUUUAGGCCAGAGAUGCUCUUCAAACAGCUGACAGACAUGACCACAUUACAAGAACAUGGUGUGAGUCCGAUUUGAUAUUCCAGUCAACGCUGAGAGACCUUAACCAGGAAGUCAGAGGUCAGCUGAUGCUGCGAGCAGGAAGUGAACCAAGGGAAAGACGGACAGGGAAUCAGUUGCUGUACGAUGACAUCAUCUUGAUGUUGACGAGGAGGGCGAGAAAAACUAGUUUUGUCCUGCAGAUGGCGAUCUUGCACCGUGUUCAGAGAGCCGACACUUUGAUGGUGCUGCUCUACUCAGCUUACUUUAGCCUGGGUUGGACUCUAUAUGAGCAGCUUCCACUCUGGUUUCACUCUUAAACACACUUGUUUGAUUUCACUUGUAAAAGUUGAAGAAUAAAUAUUUUAUUACAAAAUUA